CACAACUGUAAUUUGCCAUGAGGGCAUUUUAUGUAAAUUAAAUUUAUUGUGUUUAUAUACGUAAUAUUACGUAUUGAUGAUGAAUGAAGGGUUGAUAAAACGUUAAGUUGCUUCCAAGUAACUUGCAAAGUUUUUAUUCAGCAAGCUAUUUCGAGAAAGCCAGCGAUACCCAGAAGUUGUCGAUUUGGAAGAUGGUUUGUGUCUCCGUGUCAUUAACAGUAUUAGCAAUUGCUUCGCUCUUCGCUUGCCUACCCUCUUUCCGUAAGGCUAUCACAACUUUCCAAUCAAAACAAUUCCUCAAGUGUUUGAAGAAGACAAGGAGAUAAUGUCCUGCAUUUCGUUUUUGACAUUCAUUUUAACCGUCAGUUGUCUCACCUGUGUCCCCGUAGUUAUCCGCAAAUGCUUCACGAAGCAAGAUAAACUUCCUUCGAAAUUAUCAACAUGUAAGAGCCAAUGCUGCCCUCUCAAAAGAGAGGCUUCCCUUAAAGCAAAUAAAAAUAAAUAGUAAAAUAGUAGUGUUAUUCUAUAAUUAUACUACAUACAGGAAAAAUUACAUUUACACGAUAUCUAAAUCGAGAUCAAUCCGAUAAGUCGAGCAAAUUGGUUUUUGGAAUUCGAACUAUGGGACGUGGGAAGAGUUCCUAUUUAAAUGAAAAAAAUAUCUGGACUUAUCAGGUUAAACCGCUCACCCCUCUAAAUAUUCUAAGUAGGUAAGAUUAAUCAUGGUUGAAGUUCGAAACAUUAUGACUUUCUGAAUAGUUCAGGUGGCAUUUUUUUGAAUUUGACUACAGACAACUGCAGGUUAUGUGCGAAACUAGUAGAUUGUGUCACAAGGGAGCAAAAUGUCAAGUUUGAGCAUUUUCAUUCCAACUUGUACCUACUUUAACCCUUUUCCAGGCAUAGUACGAUUUAUCGACCACAUAGGCCCCAUUAAAAUUUCAACUUUAGCAUUCUGAUUUAAGGUUAAUAUUAAAUAACACUUUCAGGAAAUGUUAGGUACUUGUCUUCAAAUGAAUCAUCAAAGCUGGAUUAAUUGGAAUAUAAUUGGAUUUUUUGGGAAAACCUUGUAGAUUGGUGCGGCCUGGAAAAGGGUUGAAGCGCGACUUAAGUCGUGUUUAAGUAAAGUCUAACCGUCACAUUCCUGACCAAAUAUAUGGGGAUUGAUAUUGACCGUCAGUUUUGUAACGAUUGCUAACCGGCCGUUAAUGGUACACAGGUGACAAUGCCCAUUUACGGCGAGAGCGAACAUUUAAGCGUAGUGAGGGAUUCAAAUUUUAACGCCCAAGGUGGAAAUAAUUUUGCUGCCAUGUGACACAUAGUUUUACAUCACCUAUGAGGAAAUUAUUAUUUCUUAAAAUAUUAUAAUGUAACGUAAUUGAUUAUAAAGAAAUUGUAAUGUACAUACUACAUAUUUUCAUAUUCCAUUGUGUUAACACACUGGCAUUGAAAUGUCCUAGAACAAACUACUACCUGCCUUAAAAACUCUUGAUGUGAAUAUAACAGCAAACGCUAACUAACAUAGAAAAGUUUAAAAAAAGAAGGCAAACGUUCACGAACAUAUGUAGAGAUCAAUAAAUUUAAGAUUGAGCAGCGAUAUUACGGGGCUUAGCGACAUAAAGUGACGUGUGACAAUCGUGUAUACAUAGAUAACGCCAAACUUUAUUUAAAUAAUGUAUAAAAAUAUUAGAAAUAAUCAAGUGACUUUUUGUUCUUACCUCAAUACAUUUUUACUUUUCGAUUGGCGUCUGUCGAUAAGCAUUAGUCAUGCUGGUAAUGUUCCGGUAGACCUGGUACGUUUAAAAUAAUAGCCAUCAACAAUCUUUAACGAGUCUCAGGAGGUGUGCAUUGUUUUUUGCUCUGUUUCAGUUUUUGCUUGUAGCUCGAAAACGGUACAGUCACGUCUGAAAAUAUCUAAAAAUAUACGAAAAAGGUGCCAAAAUUAUGUAUACACUACCUUAAUACAUGGGCAAUAAAGUCGUGUAUACAUAUUUUAGUCACUUUUUUCGUACCGAUAUUUUCAGACGUGACCGUACGUCCGACGGAAAUUUUGCUCUAAUAAUGAUGAAAAUUGAUAUCUUAGCAUCCUAAAAGUUGAUAUGAAUUCGUAGUCAAAGUUAGCAUAAUAAAUAAAUAAAAUAAUAAAUAUUAUAUGGCAUUAUUACACAAAUUGACUAAGUCCCACAGUAAGCUCAUUAAGGCUUGUGUUGUGCUCCAAAACUAAGCAAACUCAGGAACAAAAUAUAUCUGUGUUCAUCACACAAAUGGAUGCCUUUACCAGGGUUUGAACCCGGGAUCAUCGGCUUUAUAGGUAGGGACACUAAGUAGUAAGUACCCAACCGACCAGGCCGGUCGUCAAAGUUGUAAUAAAUGGCCGUCUUUUUGAGUUUCUUUAUUUUUGGAAUGUUCAUGUUAAAAACCGAAAACGCCUAUUCACCAAUGCCUGAUCCACCAAACCUUGCUGGUAGUGCCAUUGUAAUUGAUUGUAUGGUAAGUAUAUAUACAUCGACUACAAAAAUAAAUGUGACGCGUGCUCUGCUGGUAAAAACGGCCCAUACAAAAAGCCCGGGGCCAAUGACGUUACAGGCCCGACAGACUGCGCCAGAUAGUAUGGAAGACAUCGUGAUAAAUAGGAUUUUCGUUACUUUCUCCGUAUAGCCUCUUAAGGCCCAGCCAUAGAAAUGAAAAAUCCAAAAUUUGCCACUGGAAUUUGAACCUAUAGUGCACGGAAUACAGUUGAUUUUAUUUUGUUUGAAAAUUGCACGAAACAAAACAAAUGCAACUCUGUCCUAAUUGAAUAUGAUUUAAAUUUCAUCGAACUGAAUAAGUCCUAUAGGUAGGACCUUGGGCCUUACGAGGAUAUAAUGCGUUUAAGCAAAGAGAAUUUGAAAUAGAGGUGGAUUGUCAAAGAAAAUUUUGUAGCCACAGUAAAUAUACUGCCAUCUUUCGAUACAUGAUUAAAACUUUUCACCAAACGCCAUUAGCUUUGAUCCUUUCCUUAUUCUUUCACUGAUGUGUUAAAGUUGUUAAAUACCAAAAAGUUGCGCCAUCUUACCGGGCAUCGGCCAAAGGUUGUGGCGCCAUCGCGCCUUAGUGUGGCCUUUGAUCUAUUAUUAGAUUCAAAUUCUCUUUGGUUUAAGUAUAAAUUGUCAUACAUUUUUUUAUCAUUAAAAGAUAAGGAAUCUAAUAAAUGUGUUUAAUAUAUGUAUAUUUCAAGAAAAAAUCCUAUGCUAACAUUUUACGUUUUUAAGCUCAAAUAUAAAUAAUUGUGGGUUACACAAUUUUGCAUUAAUCUGGUAUUGAUAAACGUGUUUAAUGAACAAUCAUAUAUUAUGAUUGUUCAUUAAACACGUUCAUAAUAAAAUAUUUUUUAUGUACGCCCAUUGCUCAAAUCCCCUUACCGACUUAAGAUUGGCGGUAAUAGUAGUAUAUUUUUAAAUACCAAUCUAAAUUUCAGCUAACGCUCACCUCCCAUACAAAAAAUAAAUUAAGAUCGGUGAACCCUUGCGACGCCAUGUUACCGUAGAGAGACAAGAAUAUGGCAUCCUUGGAUUGCGUCAGCAUACUUCAAAAAAAAAAUGUUUUCAUUAUUGAGUUGGUUUAAUAGGGCUACAAUGUGGCAUAUCAUAACACUUAAUGGCUUGCAGUAGGAGAUCAAGGCAGAGAAAAAGUGUUCUUGCGUCGUGUCCCAAUAAGUUAUGUGAACGACCGGCAGGAAAUUAAAUUCACAAGUUUUUACGUGCUACUCUGAUACUAUGUAUGAACAUUUCUCUAAACAGAUGCCACUUUUUUACUUGUGUAAUUUUCUGUUUUUAUUGUUCCUACUCAGAAUCAGGGGCCCAACACAGGAAAAGUGUCACAAAAGUUUCCAUACAUUAUUUGUACUUUCUUUUGUGUUACCACGAUAAAAGCAUAUGAAAUUGUGGUAUUCAAAGCUCGUGAAUCUGAAUAUAUUAUUUCUACUCCUUAACUUACAGACAAUUCACCAAUUAAUAAAAGAUAUAAAAUUGGUUCAGGAACCGUGAGCAGUAUCAGCCAUGCGCAUUAAGUAAAUUAUAUACAAUUAUUUUAUUAGUGAGUUUUCAUUUAUUUACUAUACACCCUACAAUUAGAAUAGUUCCGUAAUAUAUCAAUACAAUUUGUUUUAUCCAUCAAUGACAAGCAUAGAGUUACAAUAAUAUAGAGAUGAAAUGGGGGAGGGGAGGGAAAAGGCUAUGUUUGUUUGCCUCGCUUUUUUUAUUCCCCGCCGUAAAUUUAUGGUGGGUAAUAAAUAACCCGACCAAAUUACGUACGAAUAGGUCGUUUUUGGUAUGUUGUCAGGAAUGUUAAAACGUGUUUUUAAUUUUGUCGUAUUGAGUAUGGUCUGUCCCUUACGGGCGCACGCGUCUAGCUCAUCUGUAGGAUUCUACCAUCUAUGGUGACAAAUGACAAGUGUCCAAUUGAAUGUCAUCAUUAUGGAGUGUGGAAUUAAAAGGAGUGAAAUCUCUUAUGGUAGAACUGCAAAAGUGUCCGGCUGUCAGCUAUAAAUAAUAGUUCCAAAUAUCUCCAGAGUAGCGCUAGAGUAGUUAAGAACAUAGGCGUUAUUGACGGAGUGACGUGCGCUGUCUAUGAUUUGAUUUUUUUUCAAGCAUUCUAGGUAUUGUAGCGCCACCUAUUUAAGGUUUUUUGAUGUCACUUUUUGGUACAUGGAGAUUCCAUUCCUUACCUCCACCUUCCAUAGUCAUUAUCUCCAGUCUGGUUACUUCUGAAAAAUCGUAUCUCGCUCAAGUGUAACUCUUUUCAUUAUUACGAAGUCCUCUCUUAAUCGUUAAAGAGGUUUUGGCUGUACUUAAUUAUAUGUUGUAAGGUGACGAUGAUAUAAAUGAGUUAAAUUUAUAUUUAGGUAACAAAAAAGGAAAAAAUAGGAAAUGUGAUGGUUUUACUUAAAUAUGAUGGUGAACGAUUUAUUAAAAUUUACUAAGUGUGUAGGGUUCAGCCUCAAGAAUAAUAAAUUCCCAUUUGCGAGUUCCUGUAAUUGGCUCUGUAUUAGUAUCUAAAACGUUUAAUGUAUUUUUUAUAGCUGUUGGAAUUCCUUGUAUAAAUAAAUAAAUAAAUAAAAUCAGCCUGUAUAUUUAUAAUUUGAAAAUGUUGAAAUCCCCAACUUUUUAAAAUCCAUUAAAGCCACUUUCUAUGGGUUACCUACUUGUGUGGAAUUAACGUAAUAGAAAACCGAAAAUGGUAGGAAAAUAAAGGACACCUUUUCUCCUAGCAGUGCUCGUGAUUCUGAGUAAGAAUAACCAUUGGGUAUCAUAAGAACAUAUGAACCAAAGAGCAUAUAAUCACUACGUUUUAAGAGACGGGACUUCCAUACUAGCGAGUGGAAUCCGUUUGUUUCGCAAAUCAUUACCAAAAUGUACGACAAAGAACUGUCAAAGAACCAUAGUACCAACAUAAGCAAUUUAAAUAGUGUAGUACGCUACACGCUUGCGUUUCUUAUCGAUAUCGAUAAAAUGGGGAGGGUUGAAAUAUAGACUCUUGUCUACAAAUUUUGUACUCGAAAUCAAGUUAGGAUCGAGUCCACAUUUAAGUUGUAUGUUAUAUAGUGGAUAGUUCUAUGAGUGGACUAAUACGUAGUCGAGCUUAAUGUGGACCCGAUUUUUUUUUAUAAAACCUUGUUGUUCUUCACCACUAGGAAGGAUCAAAGUAGCACUUUUCUUCCCUACUAGGAGGGAUCACUUUUUUUUCCUCUUUUUGCAUACUUCUUAGGUUAAAUUAUUUAAUUUAAUUACCAUUAAUUAAAUUUAUUUAAUUUAUUUAUUUUUUAUUUGUACUAUAAUAAUUUCCUCAUAGGUGAUGUGAAAAGCAGUAUGUAAAUUUAUCACCUGGUAGCAAAAAUAUUUCCAAUUGGCUCGCUUGCCACAUAUUUCACACUUAGUAAACCGUUUUCUCGGUGGCAUUGUAACAAACUCGUUCUUUACUCUGAUCACGGUUCACUAUUCGAUAUAUAUCGAUUCGAUUCGAUUCGAUAUUUUCAUUAAAUAAUAAAUAAAAUAAUAAAGAAAUUGGACGAAAUACCCGAACAAAACAUUGAAGCCUUCAUAACACACAAAACAAUUAGGCUGACAGUUGACUUGAUGUAAACUUGACAGAAUAAAUAGCACUGACGUUUUAUUUUUCUUCGUUGGCAAAGAUUUGCGAAACAAGUUCCAUACAAAACUUAUUUUGUUCCUAGUUGCGUCAGCCUGAUAUGAACUUACGACAAUAAAAACUCCAAGAGCUUGCCUCAUAGAGUAAUUGGGUAUUUUUUUGUUCAAUCAAUCACAUGUCAGAUUUGUGAAAAGGCGUAAAUUUUAUUACGGCAACUGUAUGAAAAUGACAUGGGGAAGAACAGCACCACCUUUCAGCCUGGCAAUGUCGGGUUUCUUGAAGCCUAUUAACACCACUAAUGUAUAAUGUAUGCUAUUAGUAUGCAUGGUUACGACACUGUUCUGCCUUCACUUCGUGUUAUUGUUCCACAAAAGAGUUUCCUAAAUUAGUCAUAGGUGCUAAUUAUGGAGGUUAUUUGACGAAAAUCUGCAUUAUAAGAUGGGUUCAGUCCACUGUGCAUGGAUUAAUCCCAUGAUAGGUAUAGUUCAUAAGUUAUGAUAUAGAAUCACUCACACUCGAGUUAUUAGGGCGAAAUUUGGAGCAGCUUCAAAAAAUACUAUUUGGGCUUCUGUUAUUACCAAUAAGCUUACGUCUAUCUCAUAAUGCGGCUCUGUUCCAUAAUGACCAUGACUAAAAAACUCUUCCGUAAUCUGCUAUCUUUGAUGUUUGGUGACAAAAAGAAAAAGGAAAAUUCAAAAUUAGAACUAUCACUUCAAUGUUAUUCACGAUCCGUCAACUUUUGUAUUGAAAAUUCGCUGUCUAAUAUAAUAAUGUCAUGAAAUUAUAGUAAAACGUGCUUUGAUCGCAAGACUAUCCACAGCGAUCAACACUAAGUAAGCGCGUCUUUGGGAAGAAUCCUUAUGCAGUUACUCAUGUCACACUAUUACCCAGGAGCUGCAUGAUUUGCCUGUCACUACUUACGGUGAUUGGGGCUACUGCGUUCAUCCUGUGCGUGCCGUUAUACACUAGGGGCCUACUCCAGCGCAAGUGCUCGUGCUCGGCUGUUCCGAUUUGUCCUGACUGCGGCAUGCCUUACUAAAAACCCAGACGCGCUUACUACAAACGUUCAAAUGCUCUGUAUUACGUACGCGACCGCAGUCGCGGCCGCGGUUAUUGUAGCUUGUGGUCCGGUCGUUUGUGAUAGACUUAUGAAAUGUUUUUUUCCAAGCGGAGGUAAAUCUAAAUAGACUUGUGUCAUAAGUAAUUUAAUAAAAAAAACCGUGAAUACAUGCAUUUUUAAUAGUACAAUAUCCUUGUUAAUAAGACACUUCAGUUUGUUGAGCUAUACACAUCAAAAUUUUACAACGGAAAUCUGCGUUUUUAUAUCCUUGCGAAAAUGCUAGAAAGCCUGUUUUGGAUAUUCAAUGACUUAUCUUAAAAUUUUAACCAUGUUACCAAAACUCUGCUUCCUAGCGUUUCAAUACAGAAAGAUAACAAGAGUAGCCUUUUAGGCGACAAUCUGUGGGUUAUUCUUACUAGUUAGCGCCAAAUUGUUACUAGUGUUAACUACUGGUUUUUUUUUUUCACUUUUACCAGUGGUAACUAAACACUUGUCAAAGGUGGGAAAAAUAUGUUGAUGGUAACAACUUGGUGGUAACUAGUGGGAAUAAUCCUAAUCUGUUAACGUUUUUGUAGGUCGGUCGCUGCAGCAUGCAGCUGCAUACCUAUUAUUUAUGACGUCAUUUUUGUAGUUUAAACAACAAAAGUUAUGACCUAUUUCAAAUUGAUGACAAAUUGUAGGAAAAAUAAGUAUUAACCCUUUCCAGGCUGCACUAAUAUACAAAGUUUUCCCCAAAAAUCGAAAUAUAUUCCAAAUAACCCAGCUUUGUUGAUUCAUAUGAAUGCAGCUCACAUUACCACAAAGUGCAAUUUAAUUUGAACCUUAAGACGAAAGUGGAGCACCCGCGCAAAAUCGCCUUUUCAUACAAACGUAGUCCUUGAUUGCCUCUCUGGAUAUUACGAUUAUUGAAAAUAUUUUGAUGUCAUAUAUCAACCACAGCUAGCCCCUACAUCGAUUUUUUUAUUUAUGGAAUCUGUUUUUCACACAUAUAAAUUUUUACAAUAAUCAUAAAAUCGAAAUUAGUCAAACGUAGAGGCAUAGUAAUGGUUAAUAUAUAUCAAAUUAUGUAAAAAUAUUUUCCAUAAUAUCCAAAUCCAGAGAGGAAAAUGGGGACUACUUUUGCAUGGAGCAACAGUAGCAACAACAAAUUAUACACCUAAACCUUCUUCACUCUAUUGAUUGAUGAAAACCGCAUGAAAAUCCGUUCAGUAGUUUCUGAGUUUAUCGCGAACAUACAUAUACACAGACAGACGCGGUCAGGACUUUGUUUUAUAAGGUGUGGUGAUUCUAACCACUGUUUUGUCAUGUGCAUGAAACCAACAUCUAAGUAUAAGAGAACUAUGUACCGGUUAUUAGAUUUAGAAAUAAAAUGAUGAAACUAC